AGCUCAGUGGUAAAGUGCUUGCCUUGCAAGCAAGAGGACCAGAGUUCAGAUCCCUG
rnacentral:tRNA from 1 species